rnacentral:rRNA from 1 species
GCUUGUCUCAAAGAUUAAGCCAUGCAUGUCUUAGUGUAAAUAACUCUUAUGAAACUGCGAAUGGCUCAUUAAAUCAGUUAUCAAAUACGUGAUGGUCGCCUACUACAUGGAUAACCGUAGUAAUUCUAGAGCUAAUACGUGCGCACAACCCGACUUCUGGAAGGGUCGUAUUUAUUAGAUAAAAGGCCAGCCGGGCUUUGCCCGACCUGCGGUGAAUCAUAAUAACUCCUCGAAUCGCAUGGCCUUGCGCCGGCGAUGUUUCAUUCAAAUUUCUGCCCUAUCAAUUUGAUGGUAGGAUAGAGGCCUACCAUGGUGGUAACGGGUGACGGAGAAUUAGGGUUCGAUUCCGGAGAGGGAGCCUGAGAAACGGCUACCACAUCCAAGGAAGGCAGCAGG